CAGCCUGAGGCACGUCACAAAUCCGAGGAGCGGCCGACAGGACAGUCCUGGUCCCGGGCUCUUGGCGGAUCCGGGUCGGAUGCAACGCGCCCGCCCGCAGGGCUGCGGAUAGACCGGCCGGGGCAAGUCCCUAAGCUCUUCGGAUGUCCCCAACUCGGAGAGGGUUUAUGUUUGUUUUAACUGCCGGACUCCUCUUUCCAUCGGAAUGCCUACUCUGGGUUCUAAAAGAGGAUCUCAGCUGAUUUUCCACUUGCUGCUACUUUAUUUUGGUGUCUAAAGGCUGAUCAGAACUCCAGGGAGCGCCCGACUCCGCUCUGCUCCGCUCUAAGGCCAGCGGUGCCCAGAAGUUCAAAGGACUCUGGGCGGGGCUUGGAGGGCGGAGCCAGGACUACCCUGGCUAGAAGAGCCAAGAUCCUCAUCUUCU
rnacentral:lncRNA from 1 species